rnacentral:rRNA from 1 species
CCUACGGGUGGCAGCAGUGGGGGAUAUUGCACAAUGGGGGAAACCCUGAUGCAGCGACGCCGCGUGGGCGAAGAAGGAUUUCGGUAUGUAAAGUCCUAUCAGCAGGGAAGAAGAAAUGACGGUACCUGAGUAAGAAGCACCGGCUAAACACGUGCCAGCAGCCGCGGUAAUACGGUGGGUGCAAGCGUUAACCGGAUUUACUGGGGGUAAAGGGAGGGCAGGCGGCAGGGCAAGCCAGAGGUGAAAGCCCGGGGCCCAACCGCGGGACUGCAUUUGGAACUACCGGGCUGGAGUGCCGGAGAGGUAGGCGGAAUUCCUGGUGUAGCGGUGAAAUGCGUAGAUAUUAGGAGGAACACCAGUGGCGAAGGCGGCCUACUGGACAGUAACUGACGCUGAGGCUCGAAAGCGUGGGGAGCAAACAGGAUUAGAUACCCGAGUAGUC